GGAAGAAGAAGAAGAAUAAGUGAAAAGAUCUAGUUUUGUUGAGGAAGAAGCUGAUAAGAAGUAUCAUCAUUGGCUUGAUAGCAUGAAGAAGAGGGAAAUCGGCAGUUAUUAAAGGGUGGAAUUCCAAUUUUGAGAAAAAAAAACAAAACCCAUAACGUGAAAUAGGGUGAAGAAGAGAAGAAGGAGAGGAAAGAGGAAGAAGG